rnacentral:rRNA from 1 species
GAUAAGCUUGAGUAGAGUGACCUGCGGAGGAUCAUUAACAAUCUUACAAUCACUACCCGUGGCAUACGUCCACUGAUUCUUGGGACGGCGCUUGGUUACCCACCCUCUAUGGAACUGUAGAAGGACCCUGGGACAGGUGCGAGCGUGCGGAUGGAGAGAGAGGAACUCGUUGCCAGAUCCUUUGCGAUGCGCGUUAAGCUCACUCUCCAACUGGCGAACCCUCUUCGAGCGGUCGACCAUUAACGGCCCCGUGGCCGUGGUCUUGAUACGCCAUGACGGAGAGGCUGCAAGAGCCGGCAAUAGUGCCGCACGUGCGCAUCUUGGGCUGUAGAGGUGUGGCCCUUUCAAACCACAAGAUAUCAGUUGGGCUGUAUGUUCAUGGUGUUCCGAUUAAAUCCAAUCUGUGAAACUUCCACUGUUGCUUCCAUGUGUAUCCCACCCAUGGGUGGGGCGCAUGGGACUACAAUCUAACACCGCGUUCUGUUGUUCAUGUCUGAGUGGUAACCCACAAUAUAACAAGUUAAAACUUUCAACAACGGAUCUCUUGGUUCUCGCAUCGAUGAAGAACGCAGCGAAAUGCGAUAAGUAGUGUGAAUUGCAGAAUUCAGUGAAUCAUCGAAUCUUUGAACGCACAUUGCGCCUUCUGGUAUUCCGGGAGGCAUGCCUGUUCGAGCGUCAUGAAAAGCAUCCUCAAGCAAACUUGCUUGGUCGUGGAAGAAGAUGGCUUCCAUCUCUUCUGGAAAUCCUCAGCAGAAGGCCUUGCAACCUCCGGUGUGAUAAAACUAUUCACUUGACGGUUACAAAGUUUUCUUGCUGCACAGAACGCCCCCCCAGCAUUUUCUACAUGUUUGACCUCGGAUCAGGUAGGGAUACCCGCUGAACUAAGAAUAAAAGAGAGA